CAGGCCUAACACAUGCAAGUCGAACGGAAAGGCCCUGCUUUUGUGGGGUGCUCGAGUGGCGAACGGGUGAGUAACACGUGAGUAACCUGCCCUUGACUUUGGGAUAACUUCAGGAAACUGGGGCUAAUACCGGAUAGGAGCUCCUGCUGCAUGGUGGGGGUUGGAAAGUUUCGGCGGUUGGGGAUGGACUCGCGGCUUAUCAGCUUGUUGGUGGGGUAGUGGCUUACCAAGGCUCUGACGGGUAGCCGGCCUGAGAGGGUGACCGGCCACAUUGGGACUGAGAUACGGCCCAGACUCCUACGGGAGGCAGCAGUGGGGAAUAUUGCACAAUGGGCGGAAGCCUGAUGCAGCAACGCCGCGUGCGGGAUGACGGCCUUCGGGUUGUAAACCGCUUUCGCCUGUGACGAAGCGUGAGUGACGGUAAUGGGUAAAGAAGCACCGGCUAACUACGUGCCAGCAGCCGCGGUGAUACGUAGGGUGCGAGCGUUGUCCGGAUUUAUUGGGCGUAAAGGGCUCGUAGGUGGUUGAUCGCGUCGGAAGUGUAAUCUUGGGGCUUAACCCUGAGCGUGCUUUCGAUACGGGUUGACUUGAGGAAGGUAGGGGAGAAUGGAAUUCCUGGUGGAGCGGUGGAAUGCGCAGAUAUCAGGAGGAACACCAGUGGCGAAGGCGGUUCUCUGGGCCUUUCCUGACGCUGAGGAGCGAAAGCGUGGGGAGCGAACAGGCUUAGAUACCCUGGUAGUCCACGCUGUA
rnacentral:rRNA from 1 species